rnacentral:rRNA from 1 species
GCGUGAUUGCAGAUUCCGUGAAUCGUCGAGUCUUUGAACGCACAUUGCGCCCCCUGGUAUUCCGGGGGGCAUGCCUGUCCGAGCGUCAUUGCUGCCCAUCAAGCACGGCUUGUGUGUUGGGUCGUCGUCCCCUCUCCGGGGGGGACGGGCCCCAAAGGCAGCGGCGGCACCGCGUCCGAUCCUCGAGCGUAUGGGGCUUUGUCACCCGCUCUGUAGGCCCGGCCGGCGCUUGCCGAACGCAAAUCAAUCUUUUCCAGGUUGACCUCGGAUCAGGUAGGGAUACCCGCUGAACUUAAGCAUAUCAAUAAGCGGAGGAA